GCGAUUUUACCAGGACUAAUGCUCCGGAUCCUACCAGAACUCCGAAGUUAAGCUUGCUUGGGCGAGGGCUGUAAUAGGAUGGGUGACCCCCUGGGAAGUCCUCGUGUUGCACCU
rnacentral:rRNA from 1 species